rnacentral:rRNA from 1 species
AUUGAACGCUGGCGGCAUGCUUUACACGUGCAAGUCGAACGGCAGCGGGGAGGAGCUUGCUUCUCUGCCGGCGAGUGGCGAACGGGUGAGUAAUACAUCGGAACGUGUCGAGAAGAGGGGGAUAACCACCCGAAAGGGUGGCUAAUACCGCAUAAAUUCUGAGGAAGAAAGCUGGGGACCUGGGAAUAGGCCUAGCGCUUUUUGAGCGGCCGAUGUCGGAUUAGCUAGUUGGUGAGGUAAAGGCUCACCAAGGCGAAGAUCUGUAGCGGGUCUGAGAGGAUGAUCCGCCACACUGGGACUGAGACACGGCCCAGACUCCUACGGGAGGCAGCAGUGGGGAAUUUUGGACAAUGGGGGCAACCCUGAUCCAGCCAUGCCGCGUGUAUGAAGAAGGCCUUAGGGUUGUAAAGUACUUUUGUUAGGGAAGAAAAGUCAGCUGUGAAUAAUGGCUGAUACUGACGGUACCUAAAGAAUAAGCACCGGCUAACUACGUG